CAGUCGCCGCGGUAAUACGAAGGGUGCAAGCGUUAAUCGGAAUUACUGGGCGUAAAGCGCGCGUAGGUGGUUCAUUAAGUUGGAUGUGAAAGCCCUGGGCUCAACCUGGGAACUGCAUCCAAAACUGGUGAGCUAGAGUACGGUAGAGGGUAGUGGAAUUUCCUGUGUAGCGGUGAAAUGCGUAGAUAUAGGAAGGAACACCAGUGGCGAAGGCGACUACCUGGACUGAUACUGACACUGAGGUGCGAAAGCGUGGGGAGCGAACCGGAUUAGAUACCCCCGUAGUCCCUGUCUCUUAUAC
rnacentral:rRNA from 1 species